GAAACACGCAUACAUACUCUCCACCGGGAGCGGGAAAAAACGCCAACAUGUUGAUUUAUUCCUAAACAAUUUUUUUGCUCAUGCAUUUCCAUGGCAACGGACGAAAAUACAGUUUCUCGGACUGGAAUGAGCCUCAUGUGCACCACCUUGUCAAUGGCCUUCUGAAAAUCCAAGUGAACAAUAUCCAUAAACACGAGGAAUUCUGCAGAUGCUGGAAAUUCAAGCAACACACAUCAAAGUUGUUGGUGAACGCAGCAGGCCAGACAGCAUCUCUAGGAAGAGGAACAUACAAGAAAUCUUCAAGAUUCAACAAAAGUCAAAUUUGAACAACUCAACACAAGGACUGGCACAGAUUUUAUUUCCUGUAUCUGCCUGGCAGAGACUUCCUGAGGUCAUGCCUUAUGCUGCGAAUGGAACUAUUUAUAGCGGCCACACAAGCUUUCCAGUCACGUCCAUUUUCACGCAAGUCAAACACUGGAUAGGCUUCUUCAAGAAACUCUGC